GAUAGGGUCUUAGUCAAUUUAAAUCAGAUUUAAUUUGACUUGAUAUGGUUUGAAUUUGACUUAGAUUGAGUUUCAUUAGUCUAAUGGGAUUAGACUUAAUUUAUAUUGAAACUUAAACUAAGUUGGACUCCAAAUAUGAUUUGGAUUUGAACCCACACCACCCCUUAACCAAAUCCAAAGAAGAAUUCACACGUGAGAAGGACUCUCCCCUAUUUUUGGGAUGCCCAAAAUAUUUCUACGUUGCUUUUGGCAUGGAGAUAGGAAGAAAUAAAAUGGGAGGGGUGGCAACUAUUUUUAGAGUCCAAUCCUUGUUGGACUUUUCAAGCCCUAACUAACCCUAACCACCAGUAUUUAAAUAGGAGAAGUUGUGGGCGGCUCCUAAGGGAUAAGAAUAAGGGCUUUGACGCCCCAUAUGUGAAAAGGUGUGUGUGAGAUAGGGAGGACGCCAAGGUGGUUGGCAUGAAGGAUUUUUCAUGUAAGAGAAAGGAUGGGAUGCCCAUCUUCAACAUCCUUUCUUUCUAACAAC
rnacentral:lncRNA from 1 species